rnacentral:rRNA from 2 species
UGACUCUCGGCAACGGAUAUCUCGGCUCUCGCAUCGAUGAAGAACGUAGCGAAAUGCGAUACCUGGUGUGAAUUGCAGAAUCCCGCGAACCAUCGAGUCUUUGAACGCAAGUUGCGCCCGAGGCCUUUGGGCCGAGGGCACGCCUGCCUGGGCGUCACGCCAAA